rnacentral:rRNA from 1 species
AGGAUGAACGCUGGCGGCGUGCUUAACACAUGCAAGUCGAACGAUGAAGGCUGGAGCUUGCUCUGGCUGGAUUAGUGGCGAACGGGUGAGUAACACGUGAGUAACCUGCCCCAGACUCUGGGAUAAGCGCUGGAAACGGCGUCUAAUACCGGAUACGAGCUUCCACCGCAUGGUGAGGAGCUAGGAAAGAUUUCGGCUGGGAUGGACUCGCGGCCUAUCAGCUUGUUGGUGAGGUAAUGGCUCACCAAGGCGACGACGGGUAGCCGGCCUGACGAGGGUGACCGGCCACGACUGGGACUGAGACGACGGCCCAGACUCCUACGGGAGGCAGCAGGUGGGAAUAUUGGCACAAGUGGGCGACGAAGACCUGAUG